AUUGAACGCUGGCGGCAUGCCUUACACAUGCAAGUCGAACGGUAACAGGUCUUCGGAUGCUGACGAGUGGCGAACGGGUGAGUAAUACAUCGGAACGUGCCCGAUCGUGGGGGAUAACGCAGCGAAAGCUGUGCUAAUACCGCAUACGAUCUACGGAUGAAAGCGGGGGAUCGCAAGACCUCGCGCGGACGGAGCGGCCGAUGGCAGAUUAGGUAGUUGGUGGGAUAAAAGCUUACCAAGCCGACGAUCUGUAGCUGGUCUGAGAGGACGACCAGCCACACUGGGACUGAGACACGGCCCAGACUCCUACGGGAGGCAGCAGUGGGGAAUUUUGGACAAUGGGCGAAAGCCUGAUCCAGCCAUGCCGCGUGCAGGAUGAAGGCCUUCGGGUUGUAAACUGCUUUUGUACGGAACGAAAAAGUUCUCUCUAAUACAGGGGGCGAAUGACGGUACCGUAAGAAUAAGCACCGGCUAACUACGUGCCAGCAGCCGCCGUAAUAC
rnacentral:rRNA from 1 species